AUUGAACGCUGGCGGCAGGCCAAACACAUGAACAUCGAUCGAGAGGCGGACGGGCGAGUAACGUCUGGGAAUAUGCCUGACGGAGGGGGACACCUGCUGGAAACGGUAGUUAAUACCGCAUACCAUCGGAAGUGACCAGAUGGGAGUAGAUUGUUGGUGGGGUAACGGCUAACCAAGGCGACGAGCCCUAGCUUGUCGGAGAGGAUGACCAGCCACACUGGAACUGAGACACGGUCCAGAAUCCUGCGGGAUGGUGCGGUGGGGAAGAUUGCGCUAUGGGCGCGAGCCUGAGGCAACCGUGCCUGUGGUAUGAAGAAAGGCUUCGGGUUGUAAAGUACUUGCAGCGAGGAGGCGUUACCCGCAGGAGAAGCACCGGCUAACUCCGUGCCAGCCGCCGCGGUAAUUC
rnacentral:rRNA from 1 species